AUUGAACGCUGGCGGCAGGCCUAACACAUGCAAGUCGAGCGGAUGAAGGGAGCUUGCUCCUGGAUUCAGCGGCGGACGGGUGAGUAAUGCCUAGGAAUCUGCCUGGUAGUGGGGGAUAACGUCCGGAAACGGGCGCUAAUACCGCAUACGUCCUGAGGGAGAAAGUGGGGGAUCUUCGGACCUCACGCUAUCAGAUGAGCCUAGGUCGGAUUAGCUAGUUGGUGGGGUAAAGGCCUACCAAGGCGACGAUCCGUAACUGGUCUGAGAGGAUGAUCAGUCACACUGGAACUGAGGCACGGUCCAGACUCCUACGGGAGGCAGCAGUGGGGAAUAUUGGGCGAUGGGCGAAAGCCUGAUCCAGCCAUGCCGCGUGUGUGAAGAAGGUCUUCGGAUUGUAAAGCACUUUAAGUUGGGAGGAAGGGCAGUAAGUUAAUACCUUGCUGUUUUGACGUUACCAACAGAAUAAGCACCGGCUAACUUCGUG
rnacentral:rRNA from 1 species